AUGCGAUACGUAAUGUGAAUUGCAGAAUUCAGUGAAUCAUCGAAUCUUUGAACGCAUAUUGCGCUCUUUGGUAUUCCGAAGAGCAUGCUUGUUUGAGUAUCAGUAAACACCUCAAAGCUUUUGGAUUUUUUAAUCGAAAAGCUUUGGACUUGAGCAAUCCCAACACCAAUCUUUUUGAGAUCGGUGGCGGGUUGCUUGAAAUGCAGGUGCAGCUGGACAUUCUCCUGAGCUAAAAGCAUAUUCAUUUAGUCCCGUCAAACGGAUUAUUACUUUUGCUGCAGCUAACAUAAAGGGAGUUUGACCGUAUUGGCUGACUGAUGCAGGAUUUCACAAGGGUCGGCAACGAUUCUUGUUAAACUCGAUCUCAAAUCAAGUAAGACUACCCGCUGAACUUAA
rnacentral:misc_RNA from 1 species